GAUGAACGCUGGCGGCGUGCCUAAUACAUGCAAGUCGAGCGAACAGACGAGGAGCUUGCUCCUCUGACGUUAGCGGCGGACGGGUGAGUAACACGUGGAUAACCUACCUAUAAGACUGGGAUAACUUCGGGAAACCGGAGCUAAUACCGGAUAAUAUAUUGAACCGCAUGGUUCAAUAGUGAAAGACGGUUUUGCUGUCACUUAUAGAUGGAUCCGCGCCGCAUUAGAUAGUUGGUAAGGUAACGGCUUACCAAGGCAACGAUGCGUAGCCGACCUGAGAGGGUGAUCGGCCGCACUGGAACGGAGACGCGGUCCAGAGCCCUACGGGAGGGAGCAGUAGGGAAUCUGCCGCAAUGGGGGAAAGCCUGACGGAGCAACGCCGCGUGAGUGAUGAAGGUCUUCGGAUCGUAAAACUCUGUUAUUAGGGAAGAACAAAUGUGUAAGUAACUAUGCACGUCUUGACGGUACCUAAUCAGAAAGCCACGGCUAACUACGUG
rnacentral:rRNA from 1 species